UUGACCUCGAAUCAGGUAGGGAUACCCGCUGAACUUAAGCAUAUCAAUAAGCGGAGGAAAAGCAACCAACAGGGAU
rnacentral:rRNA from 1 species